rnacentral:lncRNA from 1 species
UCCAAACUCGCAACCUCAUCGCAUAAUACCCCAUAAACAUAAUUAUGUUAAUUAUGAUAUGCAAUACAAUGCUUGUUCUUAGAAUUAGAAAAUGGACUUGUUGAGAUGAUAUGAUAAUGAGGAUAAUAUGAGGCCAGAAAUCUAUGCCAUGAGGGGCCUUUAAGCUAAUGACUGAAACCCAUAGGCUGAAAGGAACAAAUGUCACAGUAAAUCAUAUCAGGGGCCUUCCUCAAGCUAGUAGAAUCCCGAACGAAAUGAAUGACGCUCAAUACAACCUAUUAAGAAAUUUGACCGCUGACCAAGGCUGAUCGCAGUGGACACCAACUUGAACACCCCCGCUCCCCUGUGGACACACAUUUAUAUCGUUCAGGCGAACCUUUCUUCCUUGUCAUGCAGCCAUUUACUAAAGAACAAUAAUUUUUCGACACAUUUAUCUUUUUUUUUCAAAUCAUAGGAUUGAACAAAUAAAUAAAAAAGAAUGGAAAAAUCAGGUACCCAUCCAUUUCUCUCUCUCUCUCUCUCUCUCUCUCUCUAUCUCAAUACUCGUUUGGCUAAUUUUGGAGACUAUAUAUAAAGUUACAUAUCAUUUGCUAUCACGGUUUUUUGUGUAUUUUACUCGAAAAAAAAAACUUAUGUAGAACAGUAAAAGUGUAAAACCACAUGUAUUUUGAUGUCUUAUUUGACCCGCAGAUCUCAGCUGCUUUGAUAUUUCACUUACUUUUGUGUCCCUGUGUUAUGCAUAAAUAAAAGAAAAAGGACGAUGACACCGGAGCAAGGAGAAACCGAUUUUUGCAAACAUGAACCCUGCAAGUGGUGAUUAGCUUAACAUUUUUCUCUUAUUUCAUUUGACCUAUCCUUACUAACAAGUCCUCUUGUUUGCAUGGAAGAUUGGCUCCCUCACCUCACCUAAUAUGCAAUACAUAUUGUGGAUGUAAAUUUUCUCCUCCUCGAUCUUGGACAAUUUUGCACCUACAAAACAACUAGUACCUUAGGUUAAGGCCAAAAGCCUCACGCGCCCACGAUGAAUGGGGGAGCUUUGGCCGAAGAAUCUCCGAUGCCAAAGUUAAAAUUUUAGAGAGAAAUAGUGUUUAGAGUAUUUGAGAUUUUUUGUAAGAGAAUUGGAAUGAAUUUUUGGUGAGAAUAGGUGCCUAUUUAUAGGAUUAAGCUUACCCAUUUUUCCCCUUGGUGUGGCCGGCCUUGAUGGUUUUUGUGGUUAUGAUUUUGGCUUAAUUAGCCAAUUUAUUGGCUAAUUAAGUAUGAAAGAAGUAAAUGAGAGGUUAUAAAAUUAUUUAUUUGUAUAAAUGGGGUAGUAAAAUGGGGAAAAGUAAGAAAGACUAAGAAGAAUGUGAGGUGGCCGGCCACUACCUAUUUUUAGGGUGAAUGGGAUAUAUUUUGUGAUUAAUUGGGUAAUUUAAUUGAUGUUUAAUGGAUUAAUUGGGUAAUUAAUCUAUUAAUUAACCAAUUAACAUUAUUUUGUAGGUUACCUUGCAAAAGGGGAUUUGAUGAGAUGGACUUUGAAUUGGUUACCUCUUUUGGAGCAUUUUUGAUUUCGUUGAAAGAUGAUUCUCCGCUAUUCGUGCGUAGGAAUCCCACUGUGCCUUAAGGGUACUCUUAUCCUUUUUUAUCCAAAGAUCCAUGUGUCACCUUGUGAUUAUUUUUGGCUCCACACAUAUCAAUCCCCUGUGCAAAACAAAGAUUUCCAAGUCAAUGAAUAGGACAGAAUACGACAGCUCAACAACCAUUCAAUUUACUUGACUGAACGAAAAAAAAAAUGAUGAAUUGGAAAUUGGAAUCAUCAUAUAGGCUGGAUAGAACAGAGGCAAUGCCCCAAACCAUCCUGCAUUUCUUGUUCAUCAUUUCUUUUUCCACUGUUAACCAAUUUCUAAUGCUGAAAAAAUGACCGACGGGAUCAUUUUCAUGCUACUGAAUCGGCUGGCUUCAACAACUUAUGAAUAUGUGGACGGAGAGGUGAAGUAUGUUUUGGAAGCCCAGAAAGAUAUUGAAGAAUUUGCUGGCACUGUCAAAGCCAUUCAAGUCGUUCUCGAAGAUGCGGAGCAAAGGCAAGUCAAGGAGGCUAGCGUGAGGAUCUGGUUGGAUCAGCUCAAAGACAUAUCCUUCCAGAUGGUGGACGUGCUGGACGAGUGGAACACUGACAUGCUAAGACAACAAGUUGAGAAGCAAGAACGAGAAGGUGAAGAUGCUCUUGUUCGUAGCACGAAGAAGAAGAAGGUAAUUCUCUCUGGUUCCCCUAGCUGCUUUUGUUUUGGCAAAGUCAGACGGGUAAUUCUCCGUCGUGACAUUGCCCUUAAGAUAAAAGAUCUGAAUGGUAGGUUAAGUGCGAUUGAUGAGCAAAGAAAAAGGUAUGAGUUUCAACACAUAUAAAGAGGUAUUCAAGAUUUACCUGAAUGGCAGAAGACUUCGUCUUUUGUCGUCAUGUCAGAGGUAUUUGGUCGAGAAAAGGAAAAAGACAUUCUGAUAACAAAGUUAUUGAGUGAUGGUGGAAAAGAUCAGAGGGGACUCCUUAUCAUCCCUAUUCUAG